CGGGUCCAGCAAAGUGCCAAAGUGUUCGCCAAAGUGGGAGGCGGCCCUCUUCGCCCCCCUCCCGUCGGCUGGGAGGGGGAGCCGGACCCCCGCUGGCUGCCCCGCGGCCCCCGGCUCCCCUCGGACUCUCUUCGCCGGCGGAGGCGCGGAGAGAGCGGUGCGGACGGCUCCUCGGGCAGCUCCGCUCUCCCGCGCCGUCCCCUCCGGCCGCCUCCCCCGAGGGGAACUGCAAUCCCAGCACCUCCCCGCCCGCCCGCUGCCGCCGCCGGCCCCGCUCCGCUCGGCUCCCGGACUGACUCGCGGUCCCCCCCGGCGGGCGGGCGGGUGAGGGAGCGGGGAAGGCACGCCCAGCCGCCGGCGCCGCCGCUCUGCCCCGCUAGAGGGCGAGGCGGCCGUACGCGGCGCAGCGGGGGCCGCUGACGGGAGCUGCCUGUCCGCCACCCCGAGAGCCGCCGCGUUCGGCCCGAAGUUCAGCCGGCAACCUCGGCGCUGUCGGAAGGACCGAUCGGCGAACGCCGCGAGCGUCAGCACCGACGGUGCGGGAUACAGUGCUGCGAGCGGACUGCGGGCACCGCGCAGGGCAGAACCGCCUCCUGUUCGGGUACCGCCGCCAAACCGGGGCGGCUCUGCCCUCCCGCGGGGCUCCCGUGCCGCCCCGUGCGGCUCCGGCGGUGUGGCGUCACAGAGUGGGGCGUGACGUCACUGGCAUCCAGCGAGGGAAGGGACGUGACGUCAGCAUGGCAGCGCGCGUUCGUCGUCUGCCCCUCGGAGUGCAGCUGUCUGUCUUUUUGCUGUGGGGAUUUGGCUCCUGUCAGAUGCCGCAAAGAAGAGUGCAGGUGUCAGGCCAGAUUCAUCCCUGGUUAUCCUCUGGGACUAUAAAUAAAACAGUGAAAAUAAGAAUCGAAGUAAUGCCAGAAUGAAGGGUAGAGCUGGCAAACGCUCAGAUUUGGGUUCUGCUUUCUCCAGAAUGGGCCCUCUGUUUUUAUGGCACUCUAACACGUAGUUACCAGCUUCAGUCUCAUUGCAGAGUGAAGCCUUAAAUCCCAUCCCCCCCACACACAGCACUGCAACUGAUGACACAUAUUGAAGAUGUGUGCGUGUUUUUGAUUGUUUUUCCAUAUAAUACAGCCCCCUUCAAACUUCGGCCUUCAGCUGUACCGCUUCCUGCGAUUCCUCCAACCGCCCUGUUGUCACGGUGCCGUGCCAUUGGGUUUUAGUAACGUGUUUGUAGUGUGAGGAAGGGACGUGAGCUGGGAGAUGUGCAGGGUGCAGGCAGCCGCCUCAGACGGGAACACAAGAGGGCAGGGUAGCAUUAAUUGUUGUGCUUCCUGACGUCAGACUUUUCUUUGCACU
rnacentral:lncRNA from 1 species